rnacentral:snRNA from 1 species
CGCUAUCCAUCCUGAGUUC